UAUUUAAGUUGUUGCAGUUAAAAAGCUCGUAGUUGGAUUUCGGGUGGGGUGGUGCGGUCCGCCUCUGGUGUGCACUGCUCUGCUCCACCUUCCUGCCGGGGACGGGCUCCUGGGCUUCACUGUCUGGGACUCGGAGUCGGCGAGGUUACUUUGAGUAAAUUAGAGUGUUCAAAGCAGGCCUACGCUCUGAAUACAUUAGCAUGGAAUAACACGAUAGGACUCUGGCCUAUCUGUUGGUCUGUGGGACCGGAGUAAUGAUUAAGAGGGGUAGUCGGGGGCAUUCGUAUUCCGUUGUCAGAGGUGAAAUUCUUGGAUUUACGGAAGACGAACAUCUGCGAAAGCAUUUGCCAAGGAUACUUUCAUUGAUCAAGAACGAAAGUUGGGGGCUCGAAGACGAUUAGAUACCGUCGUAGUCUCAACCAUAAACGAUGCCGACUAGGGAUUGGCAGAUGUUCUUUUGAUGACUCUGCCAGCACCUUAUGAGAAAUCAAAGUUUUUGGGUUCCGGGGGGAGUAUGGUCGCAAGGCUGAAACUUAAAGGAAUUGACGGAAGGGCACCACCAGGCGUGGAGCCUGCGGCUUAAUUUGACUCAACACGGGGAAACUUACCAGGUCCAGACACGGGAAGGAUUGACAGAUUGAGAGCUCUUUCUUGAUUCUGUGGGUGGUGGUGCAUGGCCGUUCUUAGUUGGUGGGUUGCCUUGUCAGGUUGAUUCCGGUAACGAACGAGACCUCAGCCUGCUAAAUAGUCAGCAUCGCACCUGCGGUGCGCCGACUUCUUAGAGGGACUAUU
rnacentral:rRNA from 1 species